GACGAACGCUGGCGGCGUGCUUAACACAUGCAAGUCGAACGAUGAAGAAGAGCUUGCUCUUCGGAUUAGUGGCGAACGGGUGAGUAACACGUGACUAGCCUGCCCCUUUCUCUGGGAUAACGCUCCGAAAGGAGUGCUAAUACCGGAUACUCACAUCGAGGCACAUGCCCUGAUGUGGAAAGGCUUUCGGAAAGGGAUGGAGUCGCGGCCUAUCAGCUUGUUGGUGAGGUAACGGCUCACCAAGGCGACGACGGGUAGCCGGCCUGAGAGGGCGACCGGCCACACUGGGACUGAGACACGGCCCAGACUCCUACGGGAGGCUGCAGCGGGGAAUAUUGCACAAUGGGCGAAAGCCUGAUGCAGCGACGCCGCGUGAGGGAUGAAGGUCUUCGGAUUGUAAACCUCUUUCAGUAGGGACGAAGCGAAAGUGACGGUACCUAAAGAAGAAGCACCGGCUAACUACGUGCCAGCCGCCGCGGUAA
rnacentral:rRNA from 1 species